rnacentral:rRNA from 1 species
UGGGGAAUAUUGCGCAAUGGGCGAAAGCCUGACGCAGCGACGCCGCGUGAGGGAUGAAGGCCUUCGGGUUGUAAACCUCUUUCAGCAGGGACGAAGCGAAAGUGACGGUACCUGCAGAAGAAGCACCGGCCAACUACGUGCCAGCAGCCGCGGUAAUACGUAGGGUGCAAGCGUUGUCCGGAAUUAUUGGGCGUAAAGAGCUCGUAGGCGGUCUGUCGCGUCGGCUGUGAAAACUCAGGGCUCAGCCCUGAGCCUGCAGUCGAUACGGGCAGACUAGAGUCCGGCAGGGGAGACUGGAAUUCCUGGUGUAGCGGUGAAAUGCGCAGAUAUCAGGAGGAACACCGGUGGCGAAGGCGGGUCUCUGGGCCGGAACUGACGCUGAGGAGCGAAAGCGUGGGGAGCGAACA